ACCAAGUGGAGGAAGAGACCGCCCUGAUCCUGUCACAAAAGAAUGGUUGCUGGUAAAAUAUCUUCUUCAAUUUAAAAACAUCUUUCAAUACUAGACUAUUUAUAUCUAGUUUUCAAUAUAUUUACAACUAAAUGAUGUUAUUCAUGAGUAAGCCCUCUAGAAGGUGACCACUCUGUUAUAGAAUGAUAUAAUCCUUUUCCUGUUGCUCAAUUCCAGCACUCCAUUUUUUGGCAAGUGGCAUGCAUUUUCACAGAGAGAGCUUAUUAUGAAAUUAAAAUGACUAAAUGAGCUGACUAGAUUGGACCAAAUGAAAUUUUUAACAAAUUUUGAAGUAAUAAAACUAGAUUAUGUGACUUUACAUUUAACAAAUUACAUGAAAAAAUGGCUCAAAAUUUUACAAAAGUAUAAUUUAAUCCAUAAGUAUGCAUGUUAAUGGGUUGAGCCCAGUCCAAGUGAGGGAUAUUCACUUGCUCAGAUUGGUUUUAUUCAUAAAUUUGAGCUCAAGCUUGACUCGUGUACAUAAUUCAGCUGAGUUCAAUAAUUUAGAGUUUUCAAAUUCGAUAGCACAUUCAAGUGGGUUUCUUCCUCAUAAGGACAACUUUUUGCUUCAAAACUCAGUAUCAUUAUGUGCUUCCUAGGAAGCAGAUGGGUUUCCAUCAACUACAACUGAAAAGCAGAGUCUAGUUGAAUCUAGCGUACAUGAUGCAAAAGCUUCUUCUGACAGAAAGGAUUCUUCUCAUGCUAAACCUUAUGCAUCCGAUACAGAAACAAAGCAUGCCAAGCAGUAUGUUUACUCAACUUUUCUUGUUUUUAAUCUUCUUAUCCCCUCACCCUCUCUGUCUCUCUCUGUUUCCUUUACUUGAUUAAUAGUAAAUGAAACUUUUUUCUUUAGUUUUUAAUUUUAUUUAUGUUCCUUGGUUCUAUCUCGUAUAUUCUCACACUUUCACCUUUCGGUGAUGGUAUCAUGGUAAUGAUCCUCAGUGGUAGGUUUUACCAUUUCUUAAGCUUAUAUUCUUCUUAGAUGCACUGUAUAGAAUGGCCAGGAUUUACUUUGUCAUUCAAGAAGUUCUUGUUUGAGUAACUGCAACUUGGUGCAAUGUGUUAUUUAGAUAGCUGCUAGACUUGUUAUCCUAUAUUGGAUGAACUCGUGGGAAUGUUUUGCUUAGUUUAAUCCUUUUAGAAUUUAAAUUAUGCUCUUUGCUUCCAUUUAAACCUGAUGCAGCCAAUUAUGUAAGAAGUGACAAGUAGAUAGAAGCUUAUUUAUUUGAUCAAACAUACUCGAGUGUUAUUUGUGUUUUGUACAAAGGUAUAUUUCUCUAAUUUUGUAUGAACCUUAGCUCAUAUCAAAUUAUUGCUUUUCUUUUAGAAUUUUUCACAAGUCAACAGAAAUUGGUUCUAAACCAUCCUAAGUUGAUUAAUUGUUUCCCUCGGGUCGUUAAGGAUUAGGGUACUUUGGGUUUGAACCUUGCAGCAAUCAUUUUGAAAAUAGGACAAUUCUUUUUGUUGAAUGUCUAGUGUCAGGCAUGUUGUUCAAAAUGUUCUGCUUAGUAAUCUUUUGGGAGCAUCAAUAUUCAUGCUGGUCUACAAUGUGUAGUGUUGAACUUUCAAAUAUUUUAUUUCUCUCUCUUUUUACUAUGUCAAGGUUAAUUCCUGUUACUUCUUAUGUGGGAAGUUUGGAUAUUUGGCAGUGUUGGUGAGUAAUGUUUAAAUUCGGUAUUCCGUAUUCCCACUCCAUCUGAUUUUAUUUUUUUCGGUGACAACUAGUCUAUGUGAAAUUUUGAAUACUUUUUUCAUGUGAAAAAGUCCCAUUUGCGAAUUCCUUUUUUCUUUUCCUCAGAAAAGUCUUCUUUUUAUUGAUAGUAGUAUGAAAGGCCAUCAUCUGAUGUCAAUAUCAUUCCAUAAAUUUGGAAUAAAAAUGCUUCAUUAAUAUUUGCAAAAUUUACAAAUGGCACUCUUUUUGUGGGGGCGGAGGGAAUAUUUCUUUUGUAGACUUUGGUUUGAUUUACCUGACAAGAGACUGUUCGUUAUAGUAGCUAAUUCAGGUCAAAAGGAACAAAAAGCCUAAUUUCUCAGUGAAGUAAGCAUUCUUACAAAAUAAAUUUUUACACAUUUGGCACACAAGAAACAGAAAUGUUGUUUACAAUUCCCUUUCCUAGUAUGCUACAAAGUAUUCAGUUAAGGACAAGAAUUUGGUACAAGGAACUUGAUUUCUAAAUUACAAGCUAUAGUUAUUAGUAGGAAAACCAAGCACAAUAUGAAACCUGAAAAAGAAUCCAAGCAUGCUGCAGUAACAGGGCAACCCUCCAUGUUCAGUAGAGUAAGUUUGUUCAGAGCUGCAGCGGCGCAGCCAGAUAAAUAAAAUCUAAGACAUCUAAAAACCAUUGACUAACAUACUUCUCAACAUGAGUCAUAUAAAUGGAAUCAAUUAGUAUAUAAGCAUGUAUUCCUGUGGAAACAAUUUGUUAAGACUGGACAAAUAUCUCUCUCUCCCCAACUCAUAAGAUUUAUUGGAAGGUGUAACUUUGGUUUGAUUUUAUAGGUUUCCAUUGUGGACUGCCAGUAUUUGAGUCUCCUAAGACUAAGCUUGUUCACUACUGGAGAUCAACCACUCUUUCUUUAAGUCUAAUUGUUUUCUAAUUGAUGUGGAUCCGCAUAUAAUUUUUUUUUUAGGUUUGGAUGAAAACUCUUUGGGGUAUUUAUUAUUUCUCAAUAUGUGAUCUAUCCAUCAUCGAUAAUUGUGAUAUUCUUUCUCAGUUUUUCACUCCAUUUGUAAAUUAUUUGGCUCACUCAUGACAUUUUACUUGUACUAACCUGUGUCCACUUUUGAUGUCUUCCUUAGCCAAUCUUUCUGUUACAGGUUAGAUUUUGUUUCACAAACUCAGUAUGGAAAAGGUUUUGAAUUCAUCUUAUCAUGCAUUUAUUUUCAUUGAAUUAUUCAGUAAACUAAGAUAGAUUAUAUAUUGUUAUGUGCUCUAGAAAUUCAUACAAAUAUAGCAUAUGUUUUUGUGGUGUGGAUCAACCUCUCUCCUUUAUCCUACUAUUUCAUGCAUAACUCUGUUAGCCUCAACAUAACUUCGGUAUAGCAUCUAGAGAAAUUACCUGAUUACCUAUUCCUUUUGUUUUCCUCCCCUUAAAUUUUACUACCUGAUUAACUAUCUUCCUAUUUUUUUCAUAUUUUAUAUUUUUCACUUUAUGUAACUACAGCUAGAGAAAGUAGUUGUGCAUCCAACUCCAGUUUCAUAGUGAGGUCUCUGUACUUGUUUAGGAUCAUUGUCUGUUGCAAAAGAGGUUUUUAUUUUCUUUUUUUUUUUUUUUUUUNNNNNNNNNNNNNNNNNNNNNNNNNNNNNNNNNNNNNNNNNNNNNNNNNNNNNNNNNNNNNNNNNNNNNNNNNNNNNNNNNNNNNNNNNNNNNNNNNNNNUCUUGUUCAAAGAAGGAUAAUUUUACCCCUGCAUCAGGUAAUGCACCUACGAUUUUCUUAAUUUGUUCAUAUGUUCUGGUUAUCUAUGUGAAGCACUCAUGUUUAGAGUUGGUAAUCUUUUCAAGUCUUAUUGCAUUCUAAUUGCUAUUGCAGUGGCAUUUAACAACUAUGAAUCAAUUAAUUGAUGUAUUUAUUGAUAGUUAUAUUUUUGUCUUUAUCCUUCAUUAAUCUUUUUUUUUUAAUUUAAGUUCGCCAGUUUCAUCUUUUCUUAUUUUUCGUCUUAUUGAAAUUGAAUUUUUGUGUUUCUCUUGCAGCAUGAACUUUACAUGCCCAACCUUGAUUUUCUUGAAGAAAAUGAUGAUGAAGUGGAUAUAACAUGUCACACUUUAUUCCUUCUAGUUCAUUGUUAUUCUUUCAGGUUUCUUAUGUUAGUUAAUAAAUUUUGUAGGUACUAUGGUCUUUGGGAGCCAAGAUACAAUAACAAAUUUUUUAGUUAUUGUGACUCAAGUAUUAUGAUCUAUUUAUAUGUGAA
rnacentral:lncRNA from 1 species